rnacentral:lncRNA from 1 species
AUGUUCCCGUUGGUCAUUGUCAUUGGCUCCAUAGUCUUCAUUUUCCUCUCUGAUAGGUUACUGUGCUUGUCUGUUGAGAGUCCAGAGAGCACAGGCGGUUGUUGCUCUUCUCGUCUGGCGCAUGUUCCCGUUGGUUGCAGCAACCAAUCACUGCAGCAGUCUUUCAAAAGUGCUUGCGAAGUUUGUUGGGCUUUGUUCUCACACCUUACUCCGUGUUUCUGCUCUGCAUUCAGGUGCACGGGAGAGCGCCGGUGUUCCGUCUCCCAGAGUUCCAUGUUGCUACGGCAUCAACAUUCUGAAAAACACAGAAAUUAGAUACAGGUUGUUGUAUAUUCUAAUACAAAUGAGUGGCAGUGUUAUUUUUGUAUCAUUGAUAUUACUAUUAUAGUUAUUGAUAACAUUCUGAAUUAGAUUUUAUUUUUAGAUUUUCAAUAUUUAAAUUUUAGUUAAGUUUUGAUAAUUUUGCGGUGUCUUUCCAUUAGUUUGCAUGUACUUUUUUUAGGUUUUAGCUUAUAUUUUAUUAAUUUUAUAAUAAACCUGAUCAGGGGAGAUUCAGUUUUAAGAAUAAUGCUAAAAAAAUUAAGAAAUUCUAGUAUAAAUAUAAAAUGCAUUGAGGCUGUUACAUUUUGAUGUCUGCGAUGAAUAAAUCUGCAGUCUAAGAAUAAGGUAAACUGAAACUCUGGCUGAGAGGUCUUGUUACCUCACACUGUUCAGUGAUUUGUGCAACUGCAAGAAAAUCAAUAGAUAUGUUCUGUUGCAGCUGUUCUUCUCAGAAUAACUAUUUGUGAAUGCAUUGUGACAUAGAGUUGUAUGUGGUUAAAUGGCCUUAAUGUCAUGAUGAUGUAUGAGACCAUAUUGCUCUGAAAAUGUAAAUGUGUUUAUGAGAGGUGAAUGACUAAAAAUAAUAAAAACAGAAGACGUAGCAUCUACUGAGGAUUACAGUAGAUUUAAGGAUCUAAUGGACAAGGUGUUGUAUAUGUACCAUCUUCUAAACUUAAUUUUUGCAAAAAAUAAAAUAAAGUAACAUGCCAAUAAAAGCGUUGCAUGAACCAACAGGUGAAAUAUCACCCAAAUCCAAUAUACAACAGUAUAGUUAAAUAAAAAAAGAGAACAAAAUUAUUAUUGAUGACCUGAAAAUUGGCCAAUGUUCCUUUUUCUUGUUGUUCUCAAUUUUCUAGUCUUGACUCUAAUUGUAAAAAGGUUGCCCCCCUCCACCUCUGCCCUCACUGCACACAGCUAUAUUUACUCCUUCCAGAACAAGUGGUUCCAACCAGAACACAAAGAGUCUCAAUCAGAAAGAGAGAGAGAGGAAAAGGCAGAAAUCAGAUGAGCAUCUACACCAACAUUUGGCAAUGCAGCAAUUAAGACACAAAUUAUGGCGGUGACAGGUCAUGCUAGCCUUUUCAACACCAAAAGAAAACAUUGAGAUUUCGUUAUACUACUUACUGUGUUCAAUAAAGAUUAUUAUUUGUGUUGCGAUUAACCUUUAUGCAUGCAUUGUGACAUAGAGUUGUAUGUGGUUAAAUGGCCUUAAUGUCAUGAUGAUGUAUGAGACCAUAUUGCUCUGAAAAUGUAAAUGUGUUUAUGAGAGGUGAAUGACUAAAAAUAAUAAAAACAGAAGACGUAGCAUCUACUGAGGAUUACAGUAGAUUUAAGGAUCUAAUGGACAAGGUGUUGUAUAUGUACCAUCUUCUAAACUUAAUUUUUGCAAAAAAUAAAAUAAAGUAACAUGCCAAUAAAAGCGUUGCAUGAACCAACAGGUGAAAUAUCACCCAAAUCCAAUAUCAACAGUAUGUUAAUAAAAAAAAAGAGAGAGAAAAGCUUUUUCUAUAGUUGUAACUGAUUUAGUAAUAAAAAUAACAUGUUUUUGUCAAAGGGAAGUAAACAAAAUUAUAUUGAUGACUGAAAAUUGGCCAAUGUUCUUUUCUUGUUGUUCUCAAUUUCUAGUCUUGACUCUAAUUGUAAAAAGGUUGCCCCCUCCACCUCUGCCCU